rnacentral:rRNA from 1 species
AGUGAACGCUGGCGGUAGGCCUAACACAUGCAAGUCAAACGGCAGCACAGGAGAGCUUGCUCUCUGGGUGGCGAGUGGCGGACGGGUGAGGAAUACAUCGGAAUCUACCUUUUCGUGGGGGAUAACGUAGGGAAACUUACGCUAAUACCGCAUACGACCUACGGGUGAAAGCAGGGGACCUUCGGGCCUUGCGCGAUUGAAUGAGCCGAUGUCGGAUUAGCUAGUUGGCGGGGUAAAGGCCCACCAAGGCGACGAUCCGUAGCUGGUCUGAGAGGAUGAUCAGCCACACUGGAACUGAGACACGGUCCAGACUCCUACGGGGGGCAGCAGUGGGGAAUAUUGGACAAUGGGCGCAAGCCUGAUCCAGCCAUACCGCGUGGGUGAAGAAGGCCUUCGGGUUGUAAAGCCCUUUUGUUGGGAAAGAAAUCCAGCUGGCUAAUACCCGGUUGGGAUGACGGUACCCAAAGAAUAAGCACCGGCUAACUUCGUGCCAGCCGCCGCCGUAA